rnacentral:rRNA from 1 species
AGCCUUAAGAAAUAAAUUUAAGGUUAAACCUGCCCAGUGUAAAUUUGCUUUAUAAAUGGCCGCGGUACUUUGACCGUGCUAAGGUAGCGCAAUCAAUUGGCUUCUAAUUAAAGUCAAGUAUGAAUGGAAUCACGGAAUUCGGCUGUCUCUUAACUAAUCUAUCAAAAUUACUAUUUAGGUGAAAAAGCCUAAAGAAAGAAAAAAGACGAGAAGACCCUUAGAGUUUUACUAAAAUUAGUGUCAUCACUAAAACAGUUUAGUUGGGGUAACAUAGGAACAUAACGAACCUCCUAAAAUUAACAAACCGACAAUUAUAAAUUUGGAUAAACUACCUUAGGGAUAACAGCAUAAUUUUAUAUAUAAGUUUGUGACCUCGAUGUUGGACUAGGAACCUCAAAGGCUAGCCGCCUUUUAGGAAAGUUCUGUUCGAACUAAUCUCUCCUCCGU